rnacentral:rRNA from 1 species
GCACAGCAGAGCUUCCCUGUGGGUGGCGAGUGGCGGACGGGUGAGGAAUACAUGGGAAUCUGCCCACCCGUGGGGGAUAACGUAUGGAAACGUACGCUAAUACCGCAUGCGCCCUACGGGGGAAAGCCGGGGACCUUCGGGCCUGGCGCGAUUGGAUGAGCCCAUGUUCGAUUAGCUAGUUGGCGGGGUAAAGGCCCACCAAGGCGACGAUCGAUAGCUGGUCUGAGAGGAUGAUCAGCCACACUGGGACUGAGACACGGCCCAGACUCCUACGGGAGGCAGCAGUAGGGAAUAUUGGACAAUGGGCGCAAGCCUGAUCCAGCCAUGCCGCGUGAGUGAAGAAGGCCCUCGGGUUGUAAAGCUCUUUUGUCCGGAAAGAAAAGCAUUCGGUUAAUACCCGGGUGUUCUGACGGUACCCGGAAGAAUAAGCACGGCUACUUCGUGCCAGCAGCCGCGGUAAUACGAAGGUGCAAGCGUUCUCGGAAUACUGGGCGUAAGCG